rnacentral:rRNA from 1 species
GAUGAACGCUGGCGGCGUGCCUAAUACAUGCAAGUCGAGCGAACGGACGAGAAGCUUGCUUCUCUGAUGUUAGCGGCGGACGGGUGAGUAACACGUGGAUAACCUACCUAUAAGACUGGGAUAACUUCGGGAAACCGGAGCUAAUACCGGAUAAUAUUUUGAACCGCAUGGUUCAAAAGUGAAAGACGGUCUUGCUGUCACUUAUAGAUGGAUCCGCGCUGCAUUAGCUAGUUGGUAAGGUAACGGCUUACCAAGGCAACGAUGCAUAGCCGACCUGAGAGAGUGAUCGCCCACCCUGGAACUGGAACGGGGACCUGACUCCUACGGGAGGCAGCAGUAUGGUAUGUUCGGCAGUGGUGGAGAGCCUGACGGAGCGACCCGGCGUGAGUUAUGAAGGUGUCGGGAUCGUAAAACCCUGUUAUGAGGGAAGAACAUAUGUGUAAGGAACUGUACACAUCUUGACGGUACCUAAUCAGAAAGCCACGGCUAACUACGUG